GGAUGGGGCCCGGUGGAUUCCCUGGGAAGGAGCUUGGCCCCGCUGGGAAGAGGCCCCAGCCGCGCUGCCAGGACGGGGGCCAGCGCACUUCCAAUGAAGGGGCCGGUGCAGCAGCACAGCCCUGCCAGGCCAUGUGGGCCAUGCACGGCCAGCCCAGCCAGCAUCGUUACCUGUUCAAAGGCCAGAAGCAAGAGAGCUUUUCACGGGCUUGCCCGUCCUUCAAUGUGUUUUCACAGAGACAUAUCCAGCUCUUUCAAGUGGUUUAACCAGGUGUCAGUCUUCGAAACUAGCCAGCUGACUGAUUCCACCAGGUCCCCACAGGGAAUCAUUUCCACAGGUCAUGGAUUCCCUCGUUCACUAAAAACCAAACCUACGUUAAACCACAACAGUCUCCUGGCAUCAGCAGGCUCCACACAACAUUCCAUUCCUCUCAGGAAGAAUAGGCUUGAUGGUAUUUUGACUCCUUUCUCAGAGACUCCCACAUGGUACUUUACAAUCCUACUUUGCUCUUAAAUACACAUCCUGGGCUGCAUCCCAGAGAUGUGUGUCAGGCACGAAGUGCUGUCAGUCAGCCCCAGUCACAACAUAUCAGGGCUUAGGAGAAGUCUGACUGAUCAGAGUGAGGGGAGGAGGGAGCACAGGAACAAGAGAAAAAGGCUGAACAGGAAAAAAAAAAAGAGAAAGAAAAAUCAAGUGGGAAAAUGGCAGGAAAUAUUCCAUACAGCAAAAGAUGUUUUUUAUCUGCGAUACAACAGCACUGUCAGGCACCAAAAAGGACAAAGAUGUUCAGAUACAGAGUGUCCUAGGGUGACUUUAUGAUGCUUGUAUCCCCUGUCCCCUACUCUGUUUGUGCAGUAUAUUGUGUUCUGUACCUUUAAGACUGGCUCUGAGGAGCAGGGAGAAGCGCUGAGUUGUUUUGAGAAAUCUGCCAGACUCCUCCGCAUUCCUUCUCCUGGACUGUGUUUGUCUGAAGUACAGACAGCAGCAGGACAGAGCUUUCCUGUGCUUUUAGUUAAUUUAGCUAGCUGAGGCAGAGAAGCUCUGUGGACUGGUUUUUUUUUCCUUUUUCUUGGGACUGUUUAAACCUGCUCUGGACUGAAAACCCAGGGGAGCACUGGGAGCUCACACCUGCUGCCCCAUCAGGGCCUGGACCUCCGGAGGGACUGAUAAGAGACUGAGCGAGCUUCGCUACCCACAGCAAAGACUUUCUGAAUUUCCCAUCUCACUUCAGAGCAAAAAGAGUAUCUUCCACCAUGCAUGAAGUGAAUAAAUAUUUGUUGGGCUGAAGAGAGAGGAGGGCAGUGAGGAGAGAUGACUCCAUAGUAUAAUUUAUACAAGUAUUCCCUGGACCUCGAACAGGAACCAGCAUUGCCCCUACUCCCAGUGUUGAAAAGUUCAAAUAGAAGGACUGAGCAAAUUCUCCUGCUACCUCAAAACCAGAAUUACCUGACAAUCAGAAGUGUCUUUCCAGGUUCCCUUAGGCAAAGGACAGAGGCACAAAGGGACACAAACACACUCAGUGGGACACAACAACUCUGCAUGGUAUGACCCCAGGUGCUGGAGAGGUGUCAAACGCCAGGAGGAGCAACAAACCUGGUGGAGCAAAAGUACCAAUGUGGCUGUUUCCCUCAGGAAAAGUGGGAAAGAGGAGGUGUAAAGUCAGCAAUGCCUUAUGAACAAAUAUGGUGGAUGAAGACACAUGACAGGAUGGAGCAUCAUUUUGGGCCACCAACACUGGGACAAAAAACCAGAAGUAGCUCCAUCAGAAGAGUGCUGUAAGUUUGUAUGGACACUGUUUGUACGUAUAUAUUAACAUUAUUAAUGUUAAUAAUUAACAUUAUUAAUAAAAAGAAACUAUGAAAAAUGCCCCUUCUAGGAGACUAACUACCAAAAUAAACCUAAAAAUGCAACAGUAAAAGCUCACACAUCCUAGCUGCAACAGUUAAAGGCUUGAACACCAACUGUAGAUGCAUCACAAAGACAUGACUGUGACUUAGACCCAAUAUUGGUGCAUGAUAAAAACAGAAUGGAAGAGAUGGAACCGGAAAAUAGCCUUGGACAGACUGAUUUAUUUAAAACUCCUGCCUCAUUUUGACUUAUUAUAAACAGAAGAGACAGAUAGACAACAGCAGAGUGCUGCCUAAAGGUUCCUGGUUUCAAAAGGGCAAACCUAGCCUUGCCUAUAAAAGGUAAGUUCAAAUAUCCCUGGGGACUUCACCCCAAACACAGAAAAAUUGUGAAGGAGUAAAUCCUGGGUGGCUCCUAACUUGCUGGAAUGAGUAGAGCAAUGCAGAUAAAAGGAAUAAGAAGAGAGCAAAGAAAGGGAGAUGAUUAAUCAGCAAAGAGCAAAAUUUUAGGGGCUGAAAAUAGAAGAGAUGGAGUGGGAAAUGCCAAACAUCAAAGGAGUUAGACCUGAGGAAGGAUAUUAAAUAGUAAA